rnacentral:lncRNA from 1 species
GGCUUUGCUAUGCUCUCUGCUGUAACAAGGGCUGUGCAUAGGUCCUGUGGGGCUGUGCCCUGCUGGCACAGACCUGGUUGUUGCUUCCUGAACUGAGAGGGGCUGCCAUGUUCCUGCUGUGCUCCAACAGCAUAUCCAGCAUAGAAGUAAAUAGUAAAAUUUUCAAGCCUGUGUGUGGAACUGAGAGAACUCCAACAUUUCUACCCUUGAAGGCACUCAGGAUAGGAACCUGAAAAUCUUCAAGGCCUCGGGAUCCAUGAUUUUAGGACAACUCUCAAGACCAGGCUCUGUGUUCAGAUUUGCAUCACAAAAAAUGUGUUUUCCCGGGGCAAAUGGUUGAAAGCUCC